UACGUAGGGUGCGAGCGUUGUCCGGAUUUAUUGGGCGUAAAGGGCUCGUAGGCGGUUUGUCGCGUCUGCCGUGAAAGUCCGGGGCUCAACCCCGGAUCUGCGGUGGGUACGGGCAGACUAGAGUGAUGUAGGGGAGACUGGAAUUCCUGGUGUAGCGGUGAAAUGCGCAGAUAUCAGGAGGAACACCGAUGGCGAAGGCAGGUCUCUGGGCAUUAACUGACGCUGAGGAGCGAAAGCAUGGGGAGCGAACAGG
rnacentral:rRNA from 1 species